rnacentral:rRNA from 1 species
ACUCCUACGGGAGGCAGCAGUGGGAAUAUUGGACAAUGGGGGGAAACCCUAGUCCAGCCAUGCCGCGUGUGUGAAGAAAGGCCCUUCGGGUUGUAAAAGCACUUUCAGUGGGGAGGAAAGGUUGAUGGUUAAUACCUAUCAGCUGUGACGUUACCCACAGAAGAAGCACCGGCUAACUCCGUGCCAGCAGCCGCGGUAAUACGGAGGGUGCAAGCGUUAAUCGGAAUUACUGGGCGUAAAGCGUGCGCAGGCGGUCUGUUAAGCGAGAUGUGAAAGCCCCGGCUGC